rnacentral:snRNA from 1 species
GAGCCUUGGCAGCGCAGAGACUAACACUGACACUGGGCAGAAAUUCACGUGGCCCCUGCACAAGGAUGACUGGCAAAUUCGUGAAACAUUCCAUAUUUUU